rnacentral:rRNA from 1 species
GACGAACGCUGGCGGCGUGCUUAACACAUGCAAGUCGAACGAAGAGCGAUGGAAGCUUGCUUCUAUCAAUCUUAGUGGCGAACGGGUGAGUAACGCGUAAUCAACCUGCCCUUCAGAGGGGGACAACAGUUGGAAACGACUGCUAAUACCGCAUACGAUCUAAUCUCGGCAUCGAGGAUAGAUGAAAGGUGGCCUCUACAUGUAAGCUAUCACUGAAGGAGGGGAUUGCGUCUGAUUAGCUAGUUGGAGGGGUAACGGCCCACCAAGGCGAUGAUCAGUAGCCGGUCUGAGAGGAUGAACGGCCACAUUGGGACUGAGACACAGCCCAGACUCCUACGGGAGGCAGCAGUGGGGAAUCUUCCGCAAUGGACGAAAGUCUGACGGAGCAACGCCGCGUGAGUGAUGACGGCCUUCGGGUUGUAAAGCUCUGUUAAUCGGGACGAAAGGCCUUCUUGCGAACAGUUAGAAGGAUUGACGGUACCGGAAUAGAAAGCCACGGCUAACUACGUG